rnacentral:tRNA from 7 species
GCGGGGGUGCCCGAGCUGGUCAAAGGGGGCGGACUCAAGACCCUUUAGUAAGAGAUCCGCUGGCGAAGGCCUUCGCGGGUUCAAAUCCCGUCCCCCGCA